UUAAACAGAAGGCCACGGCUAACUACGUGCCAGCAGCCGCAGUAAUACGUAGGUGGCAAGCGUUGUCUGGAUUUAUUGGGCGUAAAGCGAGCGCAGGCGGUUUUUUAAGUCUGAUGUGAAAGCUUUCGGCUCAACCGAAGAAGUGCAUCGGAAACUGGGAAACUUGAGUGCAGAAGAGGACAGUGGAACUCCAUGUGUAGCGGUGAAAUGCGUAGAUAUAUGGAAGAACACCAGUGGCGAAGGCGGCUGUCUGGUCUGUAACUGACGCUGAGGCUCGAAAGUAUGGGUAGCAAACAGGAUUAGAUACCCUGGUAGUCCAUACCGUAAACGAUGAAUGCUAAGUGUUGGAGGGUUUCCGCCCUUCAGUGCUGCAGCUAACGCAUUAAGCAUUCCGCCUGGGGAGUACGGCCGCAAGGCUGAAACUCAAAGGAAUUGACGGGGGCCCGCACAAGCGGUGGAGCAUGUGGUUUAAUUCGAAGCUACGCGAAGAACCUUACCAGGUCUUGACAUACUAUGCAAAUCUAAGAGAUUAGACGUUCCCUUCGGGGACAUGGAUACAGGUGGUGCAUGGUUGUCGUCAGCUCGUGUCGUGAGAUGUUGGGUUAAGUCCCGCAACGAGCGCAACCCUUAUUAUCAGUUGCCAGCAUUAAGUUGGGCACUCUGGUGAGACUGCCGGUGACAAACCGGAGGAAGGUGGGGAUGACGUCAAAUCAUCAUGCCCCUUAUGACCUGGGCUACACACGUGCUACAAUGGAUGGUACAACGAGUUGCGAACUCGCGAGAGUAAGCUAAUCUCUUAAAGCCAUUCUCAGUUCGGAUUGUAGGCUGCAACUCGCCUACAUGAAGUCGGAAUCGCUAGUAAUCGCGGAUCAGCAUGCCGCGGUGAAUACGUUCCCGGGCCUUGUACACACCGCCCGUCACACCAUGAGAGUUUGUAACACCCAAAGUCGGUGGGGUAACCUUUUAGGAACCAGCCGCCUAAGGUGGGACAGAUGAUUAGGGUGAAGUCGUAACAAG
rnacentral:rRNA from 2 species